rnacentral:rRNA from 1 species
AGAGUUUGAUCCUGGCUCAGAUUGAACGCUGGCGGAAUGCUUUACACAUGCAAGUCGAACGGCAGCACGGACUUCGGUCUGGUGGCGAGUGGCGAACGGGUGAGUAACAUAUCGGAACGUAUCCAAUAAUGGGGGAUAACUAAUCGAAAGGUUGGCUAAUACCGCAUACGCCCUGAGGGGGAAAGCUAGGGAUCUUCGGACCUGGCGUUAAUGGAGCGGCCGAUAUCUGAUUAGCUAGUUGGUGAGGUAAAGGCUCACCAAGGCGACGAUCAGUAGCUGGUCUGAGAGGACGACCAGCCACACUGGAACUGAGACACGGCCCAGACUCCUACGGGAGGCAACAGUGGGGAAUUUUGGACAAUGGGCGCAAGCCUGAUCCAGCCAUUCCGCGUGAGUGAAGAAGGCCUUCGGGUUGUAAAGCUCUUUCGCAAGGGAAGAAAACUUAUCCUCUAACAUAGGAUGAGGUUGACGGUACCUUGAUAAGAAGCACCGGCUAACUACGUGCCAGCAGCCGCGGUAAUACGUAGGGUGCGAGCGUUAAUCGGAAUUACUGGGCGUAAAGCGUG